AUUGAACGCUGGCGGCAUGCCUUACACAUGCAAGUCGAACGGCAGCAUGGAGAGCUUGCUCUCUGAUGGCGAGUGGCGAACGGGUGAGUAAAGCAUCGGAACGUACCGUGUAGUGGGGGAUAACGUAGCGAAAGUUACGCUAAUACCGCAUACGCACUGAGGUGGAAAGCAGGGGAUCGUAAGACCUUGCGCUAUACGAGCGGCCGAUGUCAGAUUAGCUAGUUGGUAGGGUAAAGGCCUACCAAGGCGACGAUCUGUAGCGGGUCUGAGAGGAUGAUCCGCCACACUGGGACUGCGACACGGCCCAGACUCCUACGGGAGGCAGCAGUGGGGAAUUUUGGACAAUGGGGGCAACCCUGAUUCAGCCAUGCCGCGUGAGUGAAGAAGGCCUUCGGGUUGUAAAGCUCUUUCGGCCGGGAAGAAAUCGCACAGGCUAAUACCCUGUGUGGAUGACGGUACCGGCAUAAGAAGCACCGGCUAACUACGUGCCAGCCGCCGCAGUAA
rnacentral:rRNA from 1 species